rnacentral:rRNA from 1 species
AGCGAACGCUGGCGGCAUGCCUAACACAUGCAAGUCGCGCGGGGGGGCUUCGGCCUCCCAGUGGCGGACGGGGGAGGAACGCGUAGGGACCUGCCGAGGGGGGGGGGAUAACCGCGGGAAACUGCGGCUAAUACCGCAUGACGCCGCGGCGUGACAGCCGGGGCCAAAGGCGAAAGCCGCCCGCCGAGGGGCCUGCGUCCGAUUAGCUGGUUGGCGGGGUAGCGGCCCACCAAGGCGUCGAUCGGUAGCUGGUCUGAGAGGGUGAUCAGCCACACCGGGACUGAGACACGGCCCGGACUCCUACGGGAGGCAGCAGUGGGGAAUAUUGGACAAUGGGCGCAAGCCUGAUCCAGCAAUGCCGCGUGGGUGAAGAAGGUCUUCGGAUUGUAAAGCCCUUUCGGCGGGGACGAUGGUGACGGUACCCGCAGAAGAAGCCCCGGCUAACUUCGUG